rnacentral:rRNA from 2 species
UUAAAGGAAUUGACGGAAGGGCACCACCAGGAGUGGAGCCUGCGGCUUAAUUUGACUCAACACGGGAAACCUCACCAGGCCCGGACACCAGAAGGAUUGACAGAUUAAGAGCUCUUUCUCGAUUUGGUGGGUGGUGGUGCAUGGCCGUUCUUAGUUGGUGGAGUGAUUUGUCUGGUUAAUUCCGGUAACGAACGAGACUCUGGCCUGCUAACUAGUCGACGUGGGUCCGCUGUGCACGGGCCCCGUAUCGACCCUAUAUCUUCUUAGAGGGAUGAGCAGCGAGUCUAGCUGCAGGAGAUUGAGCAAUAACAGGUCUGUGAUGCCCUUAGAUGUCCUGGGCCGCACGCGCGCUACACUGGACGGGUCAGCGGGUUCGCCUUCUCCGAGAGGAGCGGGAAAUCGCUGCAAACCCGUCCGUGAUAGGGAUUGGGGCUUGCCAUUGUUUCCCAUGAACGAGGAAUUCCCAGUAAGCGCAAGUCAUCAGCUUGCGUUGAUUAAGUCCCUGCCCUUUGUACACACCGCCCGUCGCUACUACCGAUUGAAUGAUUUAGUGAGGCCUUCGGACUGGCGGUCCUGGACUGGGUUCCGCUCUCCGGCGGACCCGGCCACCACUCGCCGGAAAGAUGUCCAAACUUGAUCAUUUAGAGGAAGUAAAAGUCGUAACAAGGUUUCC